rnacentral:tRNA from 1 species
AUACUCUAAAUAUAAGCUAUUUGAGU